rnacentral:rRNA from 1 species
GGUGAACGCUGGCGGUAGGCCUAACACAUGCAAGUCGAACGGCAGCACAGUAAGCGCUCGCUCUUACGGGUGGCGAGUGGCGGACGGGUGAGGAAUACAUCAGAAUCUACUUUUUCGUGGGGGACAACGUAGGGAAACUUACGCUACUACCGCAUACGACCUACGGGUGAAAGCAGUAGAUCAUCGGACCUUGCGCGAUUGAAUGAGCCGAUGUCGGAUUAGCUAGUUGGCGGGGUAAAGGCACACCAAGGCGACGAUCCGUAGCUGGUCUGAGAGGAUGAUCAGCCACACUGGAACUGAGACACGGUCCAGACUCCUACGGGAGGCAGCAGUGGGGAAUAUUGGACAAUGGGCGCAAGCCUGAUCCAGCAAUACCGCGUGGGUGAAGAAGGCCUUCGGGUUGUAAAGCCCUUUUGUUGGGAAAGAAAAGCAGCAGGUUAAUACCCCGCUGUUCUGACGGUACCCAAAGAAUAAGCACCGGCUAACUUCGUG